rnacentral:rRNA from 1 species
UGGGGAAUAUUGCACAAUGGGGGAAACCCUGAUGCAGCGACGCCGCGUGAACGAAGAAGGUAUUCGUAUCGUAAAGUUCUGUCCUAUGGGAAGAUAAUGACAGUACCAUAGAAGAAAGCUCCGGCUAAAUACGUGCCAGCAGCCGCGGUAAUACGUAUGGAGCGAGCGUUGUCCGGAAUUAUUGGGCGUAAAGGGUACGCAGGCGGUUUAAUAAGUCGAAUGUCAAAGAUCGGGGCUCAACCCCGCAAAGCAUUGGAAACUGAUAAACUUGAGUAGUGGAGAGGAAAGUGGAAUUCCUAGUGUAGUGGUGAAAUACGUAGAUAUUAGGAGGAAUACCAGUAGCGAAGGCGACUUUCUGGACACAAACUGACGCUGAGGUACGAAAGCGUGGGGAGCAAACAGG